UACAGAGGUCUCAAGCGUUGUUCGGAUUCAUUGGCGUAAAGGGCGCGUAGGCGGCUUGCACCGUCAGAUGUGAAAUUCCUGGGCUUAACCUGGGGCUGCAUUUGAUACGUGUGGGCUUGAGUGCGGAAGAGGGUCGUGGAAUUCCUGGUGUAGCGGUGAAAUGCGCAGAUAUCAGGAAGAACACCCGUGGCGAAGGCGGCUCUCUGGUACGUGACUGACGCUGAGACGCGAAGCGUGGGAGCAAACAGG
rnacentral:rRNA from 1 species